ACCGCACCAUGAAAAUUCAAGUGAUACAUUUCCUGAUCAAUAGUGCAUGCUCCACUGCUAUCCAAUCUAUUGGCGCGAUUGUUGUCUAGGGCGACUUUUAAGACCAUUAAUCAAAGCUUUCAAUGUCUUUAGCGACAAUUAGUUCUCAGUUAAAGGCAUGUGUAUCAAGCUUACUUCUAGUUUGCGGUAAGAUCCGGCGUAUAAUAAUUUCAAGCAUCGUCCUUCUUUCGCCGUCCAGGCAAGCAGAACUUCGAAGGACUGCGUACUGAUCAACACCGAGCUCAGGUGACCCGUCAUGCAAGAGUUUCUGCCCAGGAGCAUCCGCCACACAAACUACAGAUCCUGACAUCAUGAAGAACGACGGUACGUACAGCGGCCACUUCACCCAGUUCACGGGCCGAGGAAGGUACUCUGUCAUGGCAUACGUUAACGGAGGCAAGAAGACUAGACAUGCGUACCGUAGGCUGGGAUUCCCCCCCGACGCGGUGGUCUGGGAUGGAAAACACAAACGCGUGUCAUCAAACGAAUUACCAAUCAGACCAGCCCCAGCCAACUACGCUUUCAAUAAUACCCUCCUAGGGG
rnacentral:lncRNA from 1 species